GAUUAUAAUCAACAAACCGUAGAGAUAUUUUAUAGCAUAUAAAUACUACAAAAUUACAAAAUAUUUAGACAAUGAUUCAUAAACUUAUCAUAAAUAAGAUCAGCAUUAAUAAAAAAUUGAGUUUUUUUAACGGGACGGGUUGGUGGGACGGGUUCGGCAGGACGUUACUUAAUAACAAUUGUAAACUAUAAAAUAAAAUUAUUUUAUAGAUAGAUUCAAUUUGCAAACUUUUAUAUAUACUAACUUUAAAAAAGAAAUUGUUCAUACAGUGUAUUGGGGGUUAAAAUCUAGUUGACUUAUAUUAAAAUAAUUAGCUUAUCUUUUGUUUAAUUUAUUAUUUUUCGACUUAAUUGUUGAUUUUUGAAGUAUGAUUUUCU
rnacentral:sRNA from 1 species